rnacentral:lncRNA from 1 species
UGUGGGCUCUAUGAACUCCCACUUUGGUUGGAUGGACUGAUUUGAUGAAUGAUGAUGCUAUUAAUGUUGGUUUAGUGUUUAAAUUAGUGGAAUAAUGUUGUAUUGUUGGUAGAAACUCAAAGGGGAGUGAAGGUGAAAAUUUUCCAAUUCUGCCCCUAUGUUGUCCGUGACCCUUAGGGUGAUUUUUCGUGGUUCUAAUGGCUUAUUUAUGAUGUAUAUAUGUUGUGUGGGUUGUAUAAAAAGUUUCAUAAAAAAAUAACGUGAUUUGGUUAGCCAAACGUUGUGAUUUCGGAAGUUCGGCAAAUCUGAAAAUUUUCCCGUCACUGCCCUGACAGUGUUUUUCAAAUGGCCAUAACUUUUUACUCCGAUAUCAAAAUCGAGUGCCGUUUGUGGAACUAGAAACUAGACAUUCCUAGCUUUCCAAUGGUAUAAAUUUAUGUCCUGAUUCCACCGGAGUAAACCGUACCACUCAUUUGAACUUGACUGUCCUGUUUCACUAGUUCACUGGAAGCUCUGUUUUGAGCAGCAAAUUGAUGCUCAAAUAUGAGCUAGUUGUGGACAGAUUUUGAAAAUGAUUUCUUCUGAGAAAUUAUAGCUUUAUGAAUCUAGUUUUCAACGCCACCAACCAUACUCAAUUCCAAGUUAAAUUGGGUGAGUUGUGGCCAUAUUUCAAAACUGAUACAGUGAGUAAAAACCCUCUUUUUGACUAGUAAAUGCCUAAAUCUUGAUUGGGACUUAUCAAUCAAGCAAACACACUUGAUUGUGGUGUCCUCUACCGUUAAAUGCGUUCUUGAGUGGUCCAAGUUUGGGUUCAACUUCGUCAAUUCCGCAACAUGUCUUUUAAGAUCCCAAGUUUGCUUCCGCGUUCACAUCAUCUAGCAAUCCGAGCUAGAUAGAGGUAUCACGUAUAUCCCUUUUUCUUGUUUUUGAGCCUUGAAAUCGUUAAGAGUCACCAAAAAAAAAAUUGUACUGUUCAUCGGUACUGUUCACCGAUUACUAUUCACCAUCACUGUUCACAUACUGUUCAUCCGAACACAAAAAUCUAUGUGUGUUAUCUUUUUGUGUUUUGUGCCUCGUUCAAUAAAAAAAAAUUUUAUGGUCGCUAGUUUUUGUUCUUGAAAGCCAAAAUCAAAGUAGGGUUUCUUGACAAGAGGUGUUGGGAAUUUGUGUGUCUUGCACUAAACAAGGUUGUUUACCUUUGUUCUUGAUAAUUUCUUGAAUUUUUUGGAAAUUCUUGGGUGAAUCUUGAAGUAUUGGGUUGGUAUUCUUGGGUUCUUGAAUUCUUGAAGUCAAAAUUACCAAAUCGUGAACAAACCAAACCCUAGUUCUUGUUUCUUGAAGUUGGGGUGACCUUGUGCAAAAAUCAAAACGAAACUCUUGUUUCUUGUUGAGAUGCGAAUUGAAAAAGAAGAAAAAGAAAUCUGAUUGCAUUACAAAAAAAAAAAAAAAGUUGCGGCAACUAGGGUUUCUUCCUCUUAUGGUCGCAUCUCAAGUAGUUUUGUCAUUGUGUAGUAAUCUGUCCAGAUUUGUUUCCUCUUGUUGUUGCUGUUAGUUUUUGUCUAGUUCGAGGUCUAAUUCUGGUUGGAGUUUUGUGUCGUUUGGGGUUGCAAAACAACCCAGCAAAAAAAAAAGAGGGGUGUUACUUACCUUGUUGUGUCGUGAAUCAUUGCUGGAAUUUGUUUCUUUGGUGGCUGCCGAACCUAUUUGCCUUUUGUCCUUGAACCCUUGUGUGUUCUUGCGAAACUUGAAUACCAAAAGCAUAUUUGGGGAGUUCUUGAACUUCUUGAUUAGCCUUCUUCAAAUUCUUGAAAUAGAUUUGGGAAUUCUUGGGAAAAGCCUUGGGUUCUUGAAAACAAACUUCAAUCUUUCUUGGCCAAUUGUGAACUUGAUCGAAACUCCAAGUUGUUGGACUGAAAUCUGAGUUCUUGAAAAAAAAAAAAAAAAAGACUAGAGAGCCUGUGACAGCCCCACCUUCCCCUAAGGCGAACCAA